UACGGGGGGGGUAAGCGUUGUUCGGAAUUACUGGGCGUAAAGGGCUCGUAGGCGGCCAACUAAGUCGGAUGUGAAAUCCCCAGGCUUAACCUGGGAACUGCAUCCGAUACUGGAUGGCUUGAAUUCGGGAGAGGGAUGCAGAAUUCCAGGUGUAGCGGUGAAAUGCGUAGAUAUCUGGAGGAAUACCGGUGGCGAAGGCGGCAUCCUGGACUGGUCCUGACACUCAUGAGCGAAAGCGUGGGGAGCGAUCCGG
rnacentral:rRNA from 1 species